rnacentral:lncRNA from 1 species
GAAAGAAAGUGUUUACAAAGUAUGUGGUUUACAUGACAUAGGCAAAAGUAAAUAACAAAACAAGACAUGAAGCUAUACUACUCCAUCUUCUGAAUCCCAGUGCGUGUAACUGUCUACGGGUCUCCUGAGAAUACAAGUUAUUUUGAAAGAGUAGAUUAGCAUUUAAGCUGGUGAGUUCAUAAGAUAUUCGUGAUGUAAGUAAAUUGUAAGAAAGUUGUAGUAAGUUUGCAAGUUCUGUUUAGAAAAAGUUCGCCUGUUCCUCCAGAAAAUCCUAUAUUUCAUGCUUUGAUGAAAGAUAAGUAAAAAUGACUCUAUAAUCCAUUCUAUGAGUAAUAAACAGAUACAAUUUAUAUAAAACCCAGAGUAAACAAACAAUCGGUUGUAUGUAUCUUCCCUAAGCCCACAACCAAACAAGGAACAGGAAACGAGGCGGAAGGCACACAUCUCAUUGUUUGUUAGAUCAUCGUUGUAUAUAACCCUUGCGUAUUCACUUGGUACUCACGGAGUUAACUUUAAUAGUUCCUUUAUAUUUGCUGAAAAUAUUCUUUAAGAAAACCCUUAUUUCUUUUAGUAAAAAUGGUAACCACAGUGGUUCCUUCUAUAAUCACUUAGUUUAUACUAGCUAUAUAUAAUCUAAUAUCGAACAUAUAGUUAAUUAUGUGAAUCUGCCCUAAGCCCACAACCAAACAAGGAACAAGAAAUGAUGCGGAAAACACACAUCCAACUACUUAUCGGGUAUUAAUUAUAUAUAACCCUGAUAUAUAUAUANAAUUGAUGUGUUCAAUUUAGUUCUAUGUCGAAACAAAUCAGAGAUCGAGAAACAAAUGUUGGACAAUAAGUAAGACCAUGUUCCAUGUGUUUGUCCGGCUGAUAUCUUGAGAGCAGAGGAUUAUAUGAUCACUUAUCUUAAAUGGCAUAUCAUUAUCAUCUCAGUUCCGAGAGACUUUGAAAGAGCUACGAUUGCUAGUCGGAUCCUGAAGUCAUAUAUGCAAAUAUAGUUAUUAGACUUAUCCAAGUGGGAGACUGUUGGAUAUAGUGUCUAAGUCCAUAACUUUAUUUGGUAUGUACUUGACCCGACCCGACAUGGUCCAUUUGGGUUGCAUGGCACUGCAAUACUUGGAUAGACUAAAUAAGAGAAAGGACACUUGUGAUUAUUAAUAUAUUAUAAGUUCUAAUAUAUUAAUAAUAGUAUUAUUUAAUUAGUGUUGAUCAAGUACUAAUUUAGAACUAAUUUGGUGAUCAAAAUGAGACUAAUUAAAUAUAUAGGGUUGAUUCUAACAAUCAUCUAAUCUUUUAUGGUGGAUUUAUGAUCCAUGGUUUAUGGAGUUGGGGUAUAACCAUUUGGAGUUCCAUGGAUAGUUCAUGGGAGUUACAAACCCAUGGAUCAUUAGAAAUGAAGAGUCAUGACAAUUAAGGGUAUUCAUGUGAAAACCCUAAUUGUGACAACACUAUAAAAGGAGCCCUAUAGCUAGCAAAAUCGGACUACUAGUGAGUUCUAAGAGGGCAUAACCGAUUUUGAGUGCAAGUGUAAUCUCUCAAGUUAUUCCAAGUCUUGUAGUGUUGUGUGAAGCAUUUGAGGCACAACAUUUGGGGUGCUAGGCUCACAAAGUCUUCAAGGAAUCCAAGCAACAAGAAAGGUAUGUACUUCUACUAGUUUUUAUAUUACAUAUUCCCCAUGCCAUGCUAGUUAGGAAGUAAACCUUGAAAAAUCAAAUUUGCAUGUAUAUUAGAGAAAACAUAGAUUCAAGGUUUAUAGGGUUGCAUGUACACCAUAGGAGUGUUAGAAUGCUCAAAACCCAUCAGUGGUAUCAGAGCCUAGGAUUGUUUUCUGUAUAUUUGAUGCAAACUGCUUGAAAAAUCGAAAAAUUGUUCACUGUUCGACUGUACUCAUUGAGUGUAAGGGGAGAACUCGAAGAGUCCAAGACAAAAUUCAUCCUACUCGUCGAGUAGGAUCAUGCACUCGACGAGUAGGUACGUGCUGGGCAGUUUUCUGAAUUUUUUUGCUGGAAAUUGGCUAGAAUCAUUAUCCCAAACUGUUUUGGACUUGUAAAAUCUGUUUUUUAAGCGGUAAUGAUUAUGUUAACCCAUUUCAAAUGACUAUUAUCAAUUUUCAAGUUUUAUAUGUGUUAAUAUGGUUUCUUGAAAUUGUUUGAUAUGAAUAUUUGUUUUUAUGAGUUUUAGAAGAUCAUAGGAAUUGUGUGUAACCUACAUGCUUGUUUAAUUCAUGAUCUUAAUGCUAAUGAUGGUGUCCAUAACUUGUCCUCAAGUUAUGGAUAACCAAAGGUCACUUCAUUAAAAGUUGUCAUUAAAGAAUAGGAGGUUUCAUAAAAUGAAGAGUCUUCAACUUUAUGAAGAGUCUUCAACUUUAUGAACCAUUAAAACUCAUAAGUUACAAAUUUAAGAGUCUUGAAAUAGUUUCAAAACUUGCCCUCAAGUUUUGGAAUUGUAAAGUCUUACACUUUAAUACUUUAAUUCCAAAUUAAACCUUAGUUUUUUUAAAAAGUUAAAAAAACAACACUUAUACAAUUAUUAUAAUCUUAUUUAUAUAGAUAUGUAUAAGAAUAAGUCAAUCUUACCGCAAGUAGGCCUCCUUCACGAAGCCGGUNNNNNNNNNNNNNNNNNNNNNNNUCUCAUUAAAAGUAUAAUGAAUUAUAAAGUAACUAUACAUUAUUAAUUCCCAAUCUUAGUUACUUUAGGAAAAUGUGAAAUAGGUGCUAGCCCAUAAAAUUACACUUUGUACCUUACCAAGUCGUUAGUGGAGCGUGUGUGGUUAACCGGCACACUAACAUGGACUAGUAAGUGUGGCAAAGGAUAACUUGACUUUAUUAUAGAUCGGUGGAGCGUGUGUGGUUAACCGGCACAUCGAUUAGGUUAUAUAGUUGAGAGUACCAAGUGAAUUUGUAUGGUUAUUCACACCUUGUGUGUGAUCCUCGACAUCCUAGUCACAAACUUGAGAGGGCACAAUCGAGAUUCAAACAUGUCAUUGAAAAGUUUAAUUUAUGUUAAAAAGAUCUAGGAGUAUCAAAUCCAAUAAAACCUAAUAAUAAAAUAUUUCGUUCUUAUGGUGGAAAUUGGUAAAUCGUCAUUUACCUACCUUCAAAUAUUUUAUAGUGUGGAUUACGGCAUCCCUCUUCCAACUAUAAAUAGUUUGUUGGAUCCUAGCCUUAAUAUUUCAUUUGGGUGACUUAUUAAGGAUUCUUCAUCUAAUUAAACUUGUCCUUCUUCAUUUCAGAUGUCUUCCAACACUACUACUGGCUCAAACCCUACAGGAUCUUUUUCCCUCAUGAACUUGUGUGGGAAAGUCACUUUUGAUGGGUCAAACUUCAAUGAAUGGAUUAGAAACAUCAGGAUGAUUACCCGCUAUGAGAACAAGGAAUAUGUCCUUGAUAAGGAGCUUAAGGUUAUCAAUGAGUCCACUACUACUCCUGAGGAGCUUGCGGAGUACACUGCACAUGAGAGGGAUGCUACAAAAGUGUCCUGCAUCAUGUUGGCUACCAUGACUCCCGAACACCAGAAAUCCUAUGAAGAUUUCUACCCCUAUGAGAUGCACUUAGAUAUGAUGGAUAGGUACCAUCAGAGCGCGCGUCAAGAGAGGUAUGAAAUCAUCUCCUCCAUGAUAACGGCUAGGAUGAAGGAUGGUGAACCCAUCACUGGUCACUUGCAGUAAAUGCAAAGGUUCGUGGACCGGUUAUUAAAGCUAAAUGUAGACUUCCCUGAGGGCUUAGCGAUUGAUAUCAUUCUCCAUUCCUUACCUCCUAGUUAUGAUCAGUUUUGUAUGACUUAUCAUAUGAACAAGGAGGAAGUUACACUUAGCAAACUUCAAGGACUUUUAAGGACCGCUGAAAGUGGCCUUAAAGGUAAGUCGGCUGUUACUUCUACCCCUACUCCUACAACAACCCCUGUUCUUGCAAUUGGGCAGGGAAAGGGUAAGAAGAGGAAAAACCCUUUGAAGGGUACCAAGGGUAAGCCCCUUGAUGGUUCUUCUUCAAGUGGGACAAAGAAAGGUCCCAUUACUCCUUCCUCAAACCCAAAGGAAGCACAAUGCUUCUAUUGCCAGAAAAAGGGGCACUGGAAGCGAAGCUGCCCCAAAUACUUACAAGAUGUAAAGCAUGGAAAAGUUAAACCCACCUAUGCAGGUAUUUAUACAAUAUUGUCUAAUAACUCAUAUAAUGUUAAUUCUUGGAUACUUGAUACAGGUUGUGGUAUUCACAUUUGUACUGAUUUGUAGAGCCUAAGAAGAAGUGAGAAAAUGGAGCACGGGAAGAUAAACUUAGUCAUGGGCAACAGGAAAGCAUCACAUGUCACCAAGAUAGGAGUUUAUUCUUUAUUGCUUAAUAAUGGGUUAAUGUUAGAUUUGAAUAAAUGUUGUUACUUGCCUAAAAUGGCGAGAAAUAUUAUUUCCUUUCAUCGCUUGUACAAACAAGGGUUUACAUUUUCAUUUGAUAAUAAUAAUAGUGCUAUUAAUGUUUAUUACAAUGAUGCAUUUUACUUUAAACCAUUACCUUGUGAUGGUGUAUAUGAAGCUGUGAAUGUUGUAGAAAAUCUUGGAAAUAAUGUGUUGUAUAUUGGUUCUUCAAAUAGCUUGGAUAAAGCAUCUUUGUGGCAUUGUCGUCUUGGACAUGUCAAUAAGAAGCGCAUAGGCCAACUCCAAAAGGCUGGAGUUUUGGAAUCAUUUGACCUAAAGUCGGAUGAUAGUUGCGAGUCUUGUUUACUUCAAAAAAUGACAAAGUCACCCUUCACUGGUACUUGUGAGAGGGGUGAGGGUUUGCUGGACCUCAUACACACAGAUGUUUGUGGACCCUUCAAAUCAGCCACAAGGGAUGCUAAUCGUAAUUAUUUGACUUUUACUGAUGAUUAUAGUAGAUAUGGAUAUGUCUAUUUAAUCAAGCAUAAGUCAGAGACUUUCGAGAGAUUUAAAGAGUAUAAACAGGAAGUCGAGAAUCAAUUGGGCAGGAACAUUAAGAUGCUUCGUUCCGAUCGUGGUGGUGAGUAUCUUAGUACAUAGUUCCUCGACUAUCUCAAGGAAUGUGGGAUCAUCUCACAAUUGACACCUCCCAGGACACCACAGUUGAAUGGUGUGGCUGAGAGGCGUAAUCGAACCUUGUUGGAUAUGGUUCGUUCCAUGAUGAGUCGAGCUUCGCUACCAAUCUCAUUCUAGGGGUAUGCCUUAGAGACUGUCGCCCAUAUCCUUAAUCUAGUCCCUACAAAGAAAGUUGCCAAAACUCCUCACGAGAUGUGGACUGGUAAAGUACCCAAACUAGACCACAUCAAGAUUUGGGGUUGNUACAGACCCAGUGAUAAUGUGGUCUUUGUAGCAAGAAGAGGAGUCUUUCGUGAGAGAGAUUUUAUAAGCCAAGGGGACAGUGGGAGGCAAAUUGACCUUGAAGAGCUUCAAGAGUCAAGUGGUGAAGGAACCUCAAAUACUACCGACCAACUUGAGGAGGAAACUCCUGUUGAGCCGAUAGAUGAGUCCGUACCUCCGAGGCGUUCCACUAGAGUUAGGAACACACCUGAAUUUUAUUAUGGUUAUCACAUCACCACUGAAGGUGAUACAUUUAUUAGUGAUAGUACACUAAUAGAUUUGGAUGAACCUAAUAAUUACAGGGAAGCCAUGGCAGGCCCUGAGUCUGCUAAAUGGAAGGAGGCUAUGGACAGCGAGAUUUAGUCCAUGUAUGACAAUCAAGUGUGGGACUUGGUUGACAAUGUACCAGGUUGUAAGACAGUUGGGUGCAAAUGGAUCUUCAAAAAGAAGACCGACAUGGAUGGGAAGGUACACACCUAUAAAGCAAGACUGGUGGCAAAGGGCUUUACUCAAACUUUGGGAGUUGACUAUGAUGAGACCUUUUCACCAGUAGCAAAGAUUAAGUCUAUUAGAGUUUUUCUGGCCAUAGCUGCAUUUCAUGAUUAUGAAAUAUGGCAAAUGGAUGUCAAAACCGCUUUACUUAAUGGAAAGUUGGCUGAGGAAGUUUACAUGGCUCAGCCAGAGGGUUUUGUCGAUGCAAAGUACCCUAAUAGGGUGUGUAAGCUUGAGAAAUCCAUUUAUGGAUUGAAACAAGCAUCUCGUAGAUGGAAUAUUUGCUUCGAUGAGAAAUUCAAAGAGUUUGCCUUUUCGAGGAGCGAAGAUGAGUCAUGUGUGUAUGUUAGGGCUAGUGGGAGUAUAGUCAACUUUCUGGUGUUGUAUGUGGAUGACAUACUACUCAUAGGAAAUGACAUCCCAACUUUGCAGGAGGUUAAGUCUUGGCUUGAGAAGUGUUUCGCUAUGAAUGAUCUUAGAGAAGCUGCCUAUAUCCUAGGGAUAAGGAUAAUGAGAGACAGGAGUAAGAGACUAAUUGGACUUAGUCAAAGUACCUACUUGGAUAAGGUGCUAAAGAGGUUCAGCAUGCAAGAAUCCAAGAAAGAGGAAUUACCUAUCCAGAGUAAUGCCAAGCUGAGUAAGACUCAGAGUCCGAGUACAAAGGCUAAGAUAGCUGAGAUGAGUCAUAUACCAUAUGAUUCCGCUGUGGGCUCUAUCAUGUAUGAUAUGACUUGUACUCGCCCUGAUGUGGCCUUCGCCUUGAGCAUGGUCAGUAGAUAUCAAGGGAACCCUGGCAAGUCUCACUAGACUGCGGUAAAGAACAUUCUCAAGUAUCUGCGGAGGACCAAGGACUGGGUCCUUAACCUCGGUGGUAGUGAUGACUUGAGAGUGGAAGGAUAUAGCGAUGCUAGCUUUCAGACUGAUAGGGAUAAUUUCCACUCUUAUUCAGGCUGGGUCUUUAUCCUAAAUGGAGGGGCAAUUACUUGAAAAAGUUCCAAGCAGGAGACAGUAGCUGAUUCUACUUGUGAAUCAGAGUACAUAGCAACGAGUGAAGCGGCAAAGGAGGCGAUAUGGCUAAAGAACUUCAUCGGAGACCUUGGAGUUGUGCCAGCUAUAAAGGAGCCAAUGGAAAUUUUCUUUGACAGCGAAAGUGUGGUUGCUUUGGCUAAGGAACCAAUAGAUCAUAGGAGAUCUAGGCACAUUGACAUAAAAUACCAUUUAUCAGACAUCGAAUAGAAGAAGGACUCCUCGUGGCAAAGAGGGUAUCAUCAGAUGAGAACCCAACAGAUCCCCUAGCGAAGGGACCGAGUAGGGUUAAGCAUUUAUAGCAUGUGAGGAGCAUCGGGCUGAAGGAUGACAUUAGUUUCAAUAAUUUGAUUUCUAAAACUUGUAAAAUGUAAUUGACAUUUGAUGAUUAAAUAAAAGUUGUUAUUUAUUUAUGAGUAAAGUGUUACUCUCUUAUGAUAAUCAUUUACUAUGGUUUCAAUUUUGCAUGUUUUGACUUCCAGAAUAAUUAUUUUAUUCGAACUCUCCACAGUCAGUCAUAUGUCGGAAGUAGAUAUGAAUCAAGACUGUCAUGAAUUUCGUUUGUAUGAUAUGUCUAAAGGGUAUUAGACAUAUCAAUAGUUGCUGCAACAUUCAUGAGUGCUCAUAAGUCCUGAGUAUUGGAUUCAACCCACGCUCACUUGCAUCACUUCAUGGAAUUUAUCUCGAGUGAUCGUGAGACGGUAAUAUCAUAUAAAUCUUUAAACCUAGAUAUAUUAUUUUUUGACUAUGAGUUGGUUAUCCAUUGAUUGUACGAAAACGCAUUGGUAACUCGAUGUUAUAAAACGUGCUUUUGUGCAUAAUUCAACAAGUAGUCAGUACAAGCAUAUGAGUCGAAGUUUAUCUAUUCCUUCUAGAAAUAGAAGCAAUAUCUGGGCCCCUCGAUAAUUUGGUUUUGACUUAUGUACCGGGCCCGGUCAGAACCUAAUUGACGUGUUCAAUUUAGUUCUAUGUCGAAACAAAUCAGAGAUCGAGAAACAAAUGUUGGACAAUAAGUAAGUCCAUGUUCCAUGUGUUUGUCCGGCUGAUAUCUUGAGAGCAGAGGAUUAUAUGAUCACUUAUCUUAAAUGGUGUAUCAUUAUCAUCUCAGUUCUGAGAGACAUUGAAAGAGAUACAAUUGCUAGUCGGAUCCUGAAGUCAUAUCUUUAAAUAUGGUUAUUAGACUUAUCCAAGUGGGAGACUAUUGGAUAUAGUGUCUAAGUCCAUAACUUUAUUUGGUAUGUACUUGACCCGACCCGACAUGGUCCAUUUAGGUUGCAUGGCAUUGCAAUACUUGGAUAGACUAAAUGAGAGACAGGACACUUGUGAUUAUUAAUAUAUUAUAAGUUCUAAUAUAUUAAUAAUAGUAUUAUUUAAUUAGUGUUGAUCAAGUAUUAAUUUAGAAUUAAUUUGGUGAUCAAAAUGAGACUAAUUAAAUAUAUAGGGUUGAUUAUGACAAUCAUCUAAUCUUUUAUGGUGGAUUUAUGAUCCAUGGGUUAUGGAGUUGGGUUAUAACCAUUUGGAGCUCCAUAGAUAGUCCACGGGAGUUACAAACCCAUGGAUCAUUAGAAAUGAAGAGUCAUGACAAUUAAGGGUAUUCAUGUGAAAACCCUAAUUGUGACAACACUAUAAAAGGAGCCCUAUAGCUAGCAAAAUCGGACUACUAGUGAGUUCUAAGAGGGCAUAACCGAUUUUGAGUGCAAGUGUAUUCACUCAAGUUAUUCCAAGUCUUGUAGUGUUGUGUGAAGCAUUUAAGGCACAACAUUUGGGGUGCUAGGCUCACAAAGUCUUCAAGGAAUCCAAGCAACAAGAAAGGUAUGUAGUUCUACUAGUUUUUAUAUUACAUAUUCCCCAUGCCAUGCUAGUUAGCAAGUAAACCUUGAAAAAUCAAAUUUGCAUGUAUAUUAGAGAAAACAUAGAUUCAAGGUUUAUAGGGUUGCAUGUACACCAUAGGAGUGUUAGAAUGCUCAAAACCCAUCAUAUGUAUCUAAGAUCGAAUAGAUAGUAGGCUGGAUGAAUCUGCUCUAAGCCCACAACCAAACAAGGAACAUGAAAUGAAGCGGAAAGCACACAUCAUACUACCUAUCGGAUCCGAUUAAUAUAUAUCCCUGAUGUAUACACUAAGGAUUCAUAAAGUUAGGAUUAUAGGCCCCUUUCUACUGAAUGUACUAGACUCGACUGUUCUGCUUGUCGUUUGAAAACAUGUAAGUUUUCCCUAGCUUAUAACUAUCUUAACUCAAAAAUAGUUUGCAUUAAUUUUCAAGUGGAACCGUCACAAUAUGAAAGUAAUGGGAAAAUGUAAGUACACAGUUAUCUUUUAAAUUGACAUCCUGACGUACUGAUUACCUUAAAACAUGUUUGUUUUAUUAAGUUCAUAAUGUGAUGGAUAGUACCCAUACUAUACGCUCUCCCUGCAAGAGAUUUUGGGGACCAAACGCGACUUCCGCAAACAAAUUGCUAGGACGUGUAAAUUCACAUUAAAGUUAUAUGAUCAUGUAUACCCAAUUUACUACCACCUUUUGUUUAGAGCAAUGAGUUAGUGAUUAUUGGUAUAAUUAGAUCCUGUAUAGUUCUCCUGCUAUAGCAUCUUAGUAUGUUCUUUCUGUUAUAGUAUCUUAGUAUGUUCCUUCUGUUAUCAUGUAUUAUAUCUUCCUCCCUGUUCCUCUUUAUAGUAUGUUCUAGCAUCUAGUAUGAACUGAACCCCUAAACUAUACCUACUAUAGUUUACUAGUAUGUUUAUUUGAACUGUUAUUGAAAAGACUCAUUUAUCUACUAAGUUAUGAUUGUACUUUAAAAACGGAGUUUUAUAAAUUAUAAAGUAACAUAACUUUAAAAGGAGUUUUUAAAAUGUUUUGAUCACUUAUAAAAGACAUAAGUAAUCUUUUGAAAUAUGUUUAUAACAAACAUUUACACAACUAUCAUUGUGUUCAACUUGUAUUCUCCCCUCCCCCCUAAAAGCAUUUAAAACAUUUUAAAAUAUUGAUUAUAGGGGUAUGAACUCACCUUAUGUGGGUGAUUCAAACGAAUAUGCGCGUAAGGAUGAGAAGUUCCACGAAUAAAUUCCUGAGACACAAACGAGUCCUAAAUGACAUAUUUUGGCAUGAAUAUAGUGUUUAGAAGCAACCACAUGCAAGGAAACACCUUUAGGGACUAGGAAACACUUGGACCAAGUGUUAGAAUCACAUGUGAUUCAUCUAAGGGAUGUUUAAGGCCAACAUUUGGUGUUUACGGCCAUGGGUUUACGGCCAUGGAGUUUACGGCCGUAAACUCAUGGUAAAAUGUGCAUGAAGGGGUGAUUGAAUGAUCGGGAAGCUUGUGGGACUUUUGCUCAUCAAGAGGGUGAGCAAAACAAACACUUUGGAAGGCUUUUGAGGUGUUUACGGCCACACCAAGUGUUUACGACCGUAAACACUCCAAAUGGUGUCAUUUUGGGUCUUAAAGAAAGGGGGUUUCAAAGGUUCAAGUGUUAUGAGGGAUAGCAAGUGUCUAGAAGUGUUUAAGGCUCAAGAGAUGACCAAAACAAGGGUUUACGGCCAUACCCAAGAGUUUAUAGCCGUAAACUCUUGAAGUUGAUGAGAUUUAUGAUGUUUCAAGACUAUGAUCUAGUGUUCAACAUGACUAACUAGAUGAUAGAUGGAAUACUCACACUUUUGAGGGCCUUUGAGGAGUUUUCGGCCACCAAGAACAAGUGUGUGUUCUUGGUGAAAGUUGAUGAUCUAGCCAAAAGAUGAUUUCCAUGGAUGAAAUCAAAGGGUGAUUCAUGAGUAAGAAGGAUAACAACAACUAGAGGGAAGAAUCACUUACAUUUUCGAAGAUCAGGAAUGAAAAUCUCGAUGAUACUUGAGAGAGAAUGGAAGUUUCUUGAGUUGAAAGUGUAAGAAUGAAGGAAAAGUGAAGGAAAUGAGACUUAAGAGGGGAGUUUACGGCAAAACAUGAGUUUACGGCCGUAAACUCAUGUGUUAUGGCCGUGAACUCCUUUUGGUGGUGCUUAGGCUUAAAUGUUGCACAGAGACUCUAACAGGUACAUUCUAACACUCAUUCCUUAAGUGUACUAGGCUUAGAACUCCUUAGAAUAACCCUUAACAAGGCUAGAAGGCAUUAGAAAUGAGUUUGACACUCAGUUGAGUUGAAUGGUUGGACUUUACAAGCCAAAAAAUUUCGGGUUGUCACAUGACGAUGGGAUCUUCCCUGUACAUGAGUGUAUCAUAACAUGGCAAUUUUGGGUUUUUAUUUUCUAGAUUUUAGGAGAAAAGAUGAGAAUGAAAUAACACUUUCCCCUAAUACUUUGCUUGAUUCUUUAUUAGAAAUAUGUUGCAGGUUUGUUUGAGUUUUUUUAGUUUGUUCGGUUGUUUUUUGGGUUUGAUUUGGUUUAGAAGUUUAAAAUCAUCUCUAUUAGCAAUAUGUUGCAGGUUUGUCUGAGUUUUUGAAGUUUGUUUAAUAGUUUAUUUUUAUGGGUUUGAUAUAGCUCUUAAAGUCACUUUCUUUUCUUGUUGGAGAAGACGAAGGUGGUGGCCUGUUGGGGGAGGGAAUCGGUGUUGGCUACCGGAGGUGAUGGUUGUAUCACAGGCAUUUAACAUUUGAAAUUGGAGUGGAACAUUAAAAUCGAUAGGUUAAAUUACACGAAUGGUUAGUGGCAGUGAUGACUAGAAAUGGUUUUCCGGUGACUGAAAAUAAGGAGGNNNNNNNNNNNNNNNNNNNNNNGAUGGGUUUCAUUUUAAUUUAUUUUGAUGUUUGUUAAUAUAUUUUUAACUGAUAAUUUAAAAAAGAUAAAAGAAAUCAGUAAGGGUAAAAUAGUCUUUUUAGAAUGAACAUGGACCAAACGUGCAAUAAAAGUAUAAAGUAGGGACGGUCCGAAUUAAAAAAAGUUGUUAGGACCAAACACGCAAAUUACUCUAAACCAUUCGUGUAAUUUAUCCUAGAUUUUUCAGGUUCUAGCAAGAAAAAAAGUACACAUGAGUGGACUUAGUUGAAGAGAGACCGAGAAACUAAGAAAUACUAGUUUAACUUUACUCCUUUUGUUGAACUCUUGUAACACUAAUAAGUUGUAUAUUAUUAUACAAACAAUCGGGUCCCAAAACGUUGUAAAUGUCUUGAGUUUAUACCAAAAGACAAAUGGCCAAAUGGGAUUAUCAUUAAAGGUGAGUCUUUAUCAUAUACCUAACAUUACCUUUUAACGUGGAACGUGAUUGAACUUUGCUGCAUUAUGUGAAAUAAAUCAUAAUUUAAUAAAUGUCCUUUAAAUAUUCUGAUACUUAUAAAAUUGUUUAUUUUCUGAACUUUGCUAAACUUACUUUUAUCUCUUAAAUGUUAAGUGUGACAAUAUAUAGACCAUGUCUUGCAAACCAGCUUAUAAGCUGGUUUUUAUUUUAUAACUUACCAAUAAAGUUCUAAGCUAGUUUUUAGUUUGUAACUUACCAAUAAAGUAUAAAAAAUUAAUAUAUUAAUAGCUAGCUAAGCUACUUUAUAAACAAUUUUGUAUACAAUACAUUAACUUAUUUUUAUCGACCAAAGCCUUAAAAUUAAAAAAAUUAUUUGUUUGUUAGUGUUAUUAUGUCAACUUUCUUGUCUAUUCAUCUUUAUCAAAAGAUUUUUUUGAAUGUUCUAUAAAUAACUAGAUGAUUAAAGUUUAAGCAAUUUAUGUGACACUUGUAUACAUUAAAAUUAUUCGACAUGAUCCCAGUCAUACUUUUGGUGUUAUAACAUUCAAUAUGAAAAUUGACAACACCAAAUAACAUAUGAUAACACGUACUAUUUUUUUUUUAUGUUUAUAAUUUAUAUUUUUCUAAUUUGUUUUAUUUUUUUAAUUUAUGUCAUAAUAUUUAAAAAAACAUAUAAAUUAAUAAAACAUAAUUAAUUAAAUACUUAAUAAAGCAUAUCAUUUUAAAAAUGAAAAAACGACAUUACAUAAGAAAAAAAACAUUGACCGAAAACAUACGAUAGUCCUAAUAAAUUUAAAAAUAUAAAAUCGAUACAUUAUUCUUCGCCUAAAUAUUUCAGCUUGAACUUCGUCUUCAUUUUUCGGAGCACCUCCGCCCGUCUCGAAGAUGUAUUUGUGUUUGGAGAGAAGGAGUGUUGGGGUUUCGAUCCAUAUGAUUUUUUGUGUAAAAAAUGAAUUGAGAAAUGGUAUAUAAAAAUUUGAAGUGAGAAAUAGUGAGUAAAUUUUGAAGUGAAAAUGUAUACAUAUGUUGAGUAAAAAUUUAAAAAAAAAAAAAAAAUAGUUGUUUUUUUAUUUAUUUUAACAUUUUAACCGUUCUUCAACGGUCUAUUUUAUGGCCGUUGCCAAAAAACUGGACGCAAUUCUUCCCGUUCUUCUUGUUGCCAUGAUAACAGACGAUAACAUAACACGUAAUAACGGGGACACAGGACGGUGUUCAUCGCGUUAUAACGGCGUUAGCUCGAUGCCACGCCGGAGUAACACAUCUUCGCAUUGCCCGCUGCCACCUGUUUAAUAAUCAAUUGUAUUCGUACUUCAGUUUAAAUUUGUGUCAUGUUUGUUGAAUUCAAUGGCUUAACAACACUUUCUCUCACUACAAAAAGUAUUUUAAGCAAUCGUCACAAACUUAAUGAUUGGUACAAAUAGAGUCGUUGAUUUUUAACUAGAAUAUAAAUAAAAAGAUCUCUAUAAGAUAAAAUAAAAAAAUCCAUUGCCAAAAUACACAUAGUUCACUAUAAAAUUGUUUUAUAAUAAGAUUCGUGGAGUAUCAUAAUAACAUAUAAAAAAAAAUAACAUUUCAAUAAACAAAUCAAGAAAUACAUCGAUAUAUCUUACAUGUAGCCCUAUAAUAGAAAAACAACCUUCAAAAAGCUAAAUCUAUAAUAUUAUACCAUAUAGUUUCAAGCAACAUGGCGUUUACACUUAACUUAUGUAGAACUCAUAUUGGCAUCAUUCUUGAAAUACAUACACCAAUAUUGCACUAAAAUAAAACCUCAAAAUCCAUUUCCUUAUAUACAAACACACCAUAUGCAUAUACCAUAACAAAACUUAUAAUAAUUCAUAUCAUAUAUCCUCAAAACUCUUCAAUUGAAUCCGAGUUUUGAACAAUGACAACUUUCAUGGUAACAUUAUUGGGAGGAAGUUGUAAUCGAAGAGGGUAAAGCUUUCCAUUCAACGGACUUCGUGUGCACACCGUUAUGUCCUUCAAACCGGUUUCUUCCUCUAACUUCCGAGUCAACUCGGCCACAUUAUUACCCUUGAAAUUAAUGCAAAAUCCUUGGGCAUUUUCGUCAAUUUCACCGAAAUCCUCCGAAAGCACAUGGUAAUAUAUUGCUCUUCCUUCUUCCAUUUUCGGAGGCGAGUUAUGAUGCAAAUCGAUCGUCUGCAAAACAAACCAAAAUAAGUUUGCGAAGACAAAACUCUAGUUGUUGAAGUUCCAUAUUAUUUAAGUUGGACAAUUAGCUAAUGCAUAAGAAAGUUCUCAAGUACAAUGUUUGACAAAAAAAAAUUACACAAUUGGUAAAUUCAAAAAGCAUAAAAAUUACCCAAAAAGCUCACAAAAGCAAAAAUCAAAACAAGAUUUGACAUUUGGUUAAUGUCCAAAAAGUUCUCAAAAAGCUAACUACAAUUGGUAAUAUUCAAAAAGCAUAAAAAUUAAAGAGUCCUUUGUAAAGAACAAAAUUGAUUGUUACUUUACAAAAAUGUUUCUGAUUAUGAUUUUCAAAACAAAUUAAUGACCCAAUAAACAAAAAUUCUAAAGAUUCAUACCUCUUGCAUAGAGAAAGUCGGUGACUUUUCCCAAUUCGUACUGGGUGAGCUGGAUUCCGAUGAAGUAAACGAAUCGGAAUGAAGAACCAACGGCGGCGCUGGCCUUGCCACCGGAGACUGCACGACGAUAUCCACCACAUCGACGUCCCAAAGGAUCCACUCAUGGAACGCAUGAGUAACAUCAUGUGUAACGGAAUUCCUCCACGGCGGAAGUCCGCCAUUCGCCCGCAAAAACUGCCCGUAUCUCGUCCUAAGCUUCACCUGAUUCCCCACCCGGAUCGGCUCCCACUCCACCGACGAAUCAAGCCGGCGAGGCACCGUCUGCAGAACUUUCCGGCCAGUCAUUCCGAGCAAGAACGGCUGGUUAGAAGCUGUCAAGUACUUGUUAUAACACGACUUUAAACGUAUAAUCGUGAUGUUGUCAUCGUGACUCUCCGUUACGAACUCGACGGUCCAUCGGUUGUUCUUGGCGGCGCCGUUGCGGUCUUGAGAGACGGAUUCCUCGUCGUCCGCCGCGUGAAGGUACUUGUUGUGGUGGUUCUUAAGCCGGACUGCCUUCGCGUUGUUGAAGAGAUCCAUCACCGGCGCUGGAUUUGGUUGCUGCUGAAAUGAAAGCCUCUGUGUUUGGAGAAUUGAAAGAAUGAAUCAGAAAUGAAAUAUUCCGGCGAUAAGAUCGAAACCCAGAUAAGAAACGGUGGAAUGAUUAGAUGGUUUUGAUCUGAAUCGGAUAUAAUUUGAAGAUUCCGUUUGGAUCUAGAAGAAGAUGAUCGGUUUAAAUAGGAAGCAAGCGACGUUUGUGCCGUGUGGGACACAGUCAGCGCCAGCCAGGAUAGAUUGACCACCAAGUUUUACUUCGGAACAAAGAAUGAGACUUCUUCAUUUGUACAAUGUUUUCAUUAAUUGUAACAAAAUAUGUUAUUAUUGUAAAUAGAUGAUGGUUUUAAAAUUGAUUACUUAAUGUUUUUAUUUAAUUUAAUUCUUUAUUUCCUUUGGUUUUCACUAUAAUUUUUUUUUUUUAAAAUGGUUUUACAAUAUUAAAUAAUCAAAUACGUAGUAUAUUGAAAGGUUUGUAUUCUGUGAUGGACAUAUUGUAAAUUAAAGAAUAUGAGGAAGAUAUGUGUGAGUUAGACGUAAAAAAAAUCAAAAUAAAAUACUUGUUAUGACAAAACAAAUUUAUAUAGACAAUGUUUAAAUAUGGUUUUACCGAUUAAAAUUAUAAUAAAAAUUAGUUGUUUUUUAAUACUUUUACAUAUUCAUAUAAAUGGAUUGAUAUAUAAAUUGUCCAAAGAAGAAAUUCAUAUAUCUUGCCCAAGUGUUUACAUUUUAAACAUGAUAAAAUAAUUCUAACCAUGAUAUAUACAUAUAAUAAUGUUUUAUUAAUAAUUAAAAGGAUAAAUGGAAAGUCAUUACAAUAUGGUAAAAAAAAAAAAGUGGUUAAAAGAGUGAUAAAUAAGUGAUUUUUAAAGAAAAAUAAAAUAAAAACAAUUUUGUUACAAUUGACUAUUUCACCAUAAACAACCAAAUAGGCAAAUAGUAACGUCAACAUCAUUUUAUUUGGCAUUUAAUCUUUUUGGGGAAUGAGAUAAAAUGUAGUAUGUAUGACAUCCUGAAAAUUAACUCCAUUCUACUCUACCAUAAUUGAAUAUUUUUGCUAGCAUUUAAGAAAAAUGCGUAAACUUUAAACCGUAUAAAAAUUAGGACGGUUUAUUAUUCGGAUAAAACCGAAUUAUCAAUUGGACAAUUUGGAUUGGACUAUUUGGUUCGGAUAUUCGGAUUUUUGGAUUGGUUUUUAACAAAACCGAAUUAUUAUUUUGGAUUCCGGAUUGGUUAUGGUUUAUAAAAUAAGAACCAAAUAAUCCAAAAAAAAACCGAACAAACAUUUAUUAUUUAUCUAUUUAUGAUAUAUAUCCAUAGUUAUUUAUUAAUUUGGUAAUCUAUUUUUUCAAAUAGGUUCAAAACAUUUCACUCGAUAAAAAAAACAUUAAUAUGCAUUUUGUCUUAAAAGUUUUCUAUCUAUAAAAUAUUUAACUAUAAUAUAUAUUCGUAGUAGUUGUUUAUAAAUUUCAAAACACAACUAAAUAAUUUAUUUUUGGUUCUUUUGUAAAGUUGAGCAAUAUUAUAAUUAUAUAUCGUUUUAAAAUGUUUCGUUUUUUGAAAACCGAAUUAUAAAAAAACGAUCCAACUGAAUUGUAAUUGGAUCGGAUCGGAUCGUACUGGAAUUUAGAUUGGACUAUUCGGAUCCAUAUUUUGAAAACCCAAAUCAAUUUGGUUUCACUUGAUUGGAUCGGAUCAAACCAAUUUAUCCAAACGAACACCCCUAAUAAAAAUUCUCAUUUAAAAAAUAUAAAUAAAGUUGAUUGUCAUUUUUGUUCCUAAUAAAUACAAUCAUUUGUCUUUUAACAUGUACUUAAGAAAUUAACCAUUUUAUUAUUCUUUUGAAAUACUACACAUUUAUGCAUCCACGUAACUGAAAGCGCCCAUUCUCACGUGACACGGUUACGUACGCCGGUCGGCAAAAACGUUUUUAUUUUUCUAGUUCAUAUUUUAGAUUACUACCCUUUUGUACCUUUUAUGUCAUAUGAAACGCAUCGACAUGAUAAGAUGUUCACUAUAGCCCAUAUUCUUUGAUAUGUGGCUCAUUAUAACCCUUUAAGUUUACGUAUUUGAAUUAGAGCCACUACAAAGUACAAAGAAAUAAAACUUAGUCGUUGGCAAGCAUCAGAAAUGGUGUUGGUGAAUUAGUGAUAUUAUUUUGGUGUCGGAUAUUUGUCUAGACAUGAUUUCAAUUGUCUUCACCUAAUUCUACAUACGGUACCUCAGUAUAAUUGUAAAUUUCAUCAUCAUAUCAAUAACAAAUCUCUUAUAGAUCAAACAUGACAGUUACCCGAAUCGUAUGAACCAUAUAAAUAUUUUACGGUCUUUAUUUUUAUUUGUAUUUUUUAGAACGACAUGCCACUCUAAUCUUGUAGUUUGUUGAAUUCAAAAAUAGACCCGCUCUAUUUUUUAGUGUUUAAAUCCUGAAUGUUCUCCAUUAGGCCACCGUGAUAGAGGUUUUUUACUCCCGUCUUUAAAAUAUGUGCUUGUUGUUUGAACAUCUAAUAAUUGGUGUCAUUGUUAUGGCUAAUGACGAGAAUGUUAAAAUGAAAAGGUUUGAUGAUCAUUAAUUGUUGAGUUUUUGGUUGUAUUUCCCAUCCCACAUUAAUAGAAAGAUGAAAUUUUAGUUGGACUCCAAACUUAUAAAAAGAGUUCAAGGCUUUGUUUCAUUGCUUCCUAACCAAAAUACACUUGAACUUUGUAGAAAGUGUUAGUUAAUACUUUGAAAGAGUGAGUAAUUUUAGGGGAGACUUGAGAUAUUAGUUUAUGUGAUUGUAACAAUUUAUCAAAUCUUUCUUUCUAAGGGUUUGUUGUUUCUCUCUUGUUUUGGAGUUUCCAUGUAUAUUCUUGUGCAAUUUAAUUUUUUUUAUUAUUAUUGUCAUUGGGAGGUUGUUAGGAAUCUUUAAGACCAUUUUCCCAACAAGUGGUGAGUUUUCGAGGAGCUCUCAGUUUUAGAGGCUCGUCUUAUGCUAUGUGGUUAAAGCUUUGUUUGAUUUUCCAAAAUAAUAAUAAUAAUAAUAAUAAUAUAAUAAUAAUAAUAAUAAUCUCUAUUACUCUUAAUUAAAGGUACUUCGUACUUUGAAGGUUUGUCUUAUGCUUUGUGGUUGUAGCGUGGUCUGGUACUCUACAUCAUAAACGAGGAUCUGGUUAACUAUUUUGUAUACAAUAUAAUUAUAUACAAACCGGAAGUAUAUAACAUAUAGGUUUAUAAGCAUGUACGUCGUGACCCACUUCUGGCUAAGAAAGACUUGUUACAUAAGUGUGUACGUUGUGACCCACCUCUGUGUCCUAGGAAUUCUUUUGUUGGUGUAAUACUUAUAGGUUUUGUAUAUAUUUUUCUAGUAAACAAUACUGUUUGGGGAUACGUAUACAAUGUCAAAAUACAGUACCAUGAUGUUCGAUGUAGAUAAAUAUGAUGGAAGAAGCAACUUUGGUUUAUGGAAAGUUCAAGUCAAGGAUGUGUUGAUUCAGUCUGAGUUACAUAAGGCAUUGAAGAUGAACAUCAUUUUUUCUUGACAAACAAAAAAUGUUAACGUUGCAAAGAUAGGAACAUCAUCCUAGGUUAGGAAUUCAGAACCAGUUCAUAUUAAUGUUUACAGUCAUAAAUUAGUUUCUUCAAUUGGAGGAUCAUAACAUAGCAUUACCAUGAUUUCGCAAGAAGGUAUAAGUUUAUUUAUCAAAUAAUAAAAUUGAGGACUUCUAUAUCAUUUAAAAGGUUAAAACUAUUAUAGAAAAUGAGAUUAACUUGGAAAUGAAGUGUUGAAGUCAGAUAAAGUGGAAAAUACAACAUCAAAUUGUGUUUUUGACAAUUGUGUUGAGGAUAUGAUUAGCAUGAUGAAGAUUGUUCGGAAUACAUUGUAUCAUAAUGAAGUUGCAAAAAGGUUGACCAUAACCUUAAAUAAGAGAACAAAUAGUAUGAUGUUUUUAUGUAGGGUUGGUGAAGAUUUUAUAGAGGAAAUUAUUAGAUAAGACAACUUACCUAAUUCGUAGAGCCAUUUAUUUCCGAUAGGGUUCAAAAUUCUAUACGAUAAUUUUGGCAAGGUCGAGAUGUAACUCUUACAUAUUUAAAAGUAUUUAUAUAGUAUAUGUUUAUGUAAAAAUCAAUUACGUUGUAAAGAUCAAUGAUGUUAACAAAAAAAUAACGAAAAAUUACUAAGCAAUGACAAUUAUAGACAAAUACAUUGAAUAUUUGUUAUAUUUAUAAUAUGAAAUAUUAUCAUCAUCAAGAUAAUCAAAGCUUAUAUAAAAAAAAUAACCUUGAAAUAAAAUCUUAUAUAAAAAAUAAGAUUGGAUAUCAAAGUAGGGAUAUUAAAAAUAUGAUCAUAUAAUCAUUGUGAAUUAAAAUUAAUAACCAAAAAAAUGCAUUUACGAAAUGACAACUAAGUCUGAAAAUUAAGCAAUUUUGGAUUUUCGUUGUGUGUAAUAUAUAGUGUCUUCCAAGGUUGUCAAGAUCGGGAUCCUACGUAUGAUCAUUUUUGGGUUUGCAAGAUCGGGAUCGAGAUCUUGUAUACUCUCCACGCCAAUGGUCGUGGAGAGCUUCCAAGUCAGCCGCCUCAAGCCACCACAAACCACCGAUGUACUCUCCACUACCGGAAUGAAGAGAGAGAAAAGAAAGAAAGAAGAGAGAGAGAGAGAGAGAGAGAGAGAGAGAGAAGAGGAAGCUGGGAGAGAAGAAGACGGCCAUUGGUGGUUUACAAUCGUGAUGCCCACCACGAACGGUCGGGUCGGCGUGCACGGCCAUUGUUCAUUGUCAUCUCAAGUACAGACCCGUUCGUGGAGAGUAUACCGAUAAGUCUAAGUAUUUUUGUGAAGAUCCUAUAAAGAACUCACAAUGGCCGGCUAUUGGAUAUAAGUAUUAUGUUAGGAAUUUGGUAUGUUAUAUUUUUUAUAAUAAAUGGUCUCAAAGUAAAUACAAACAUUAUAUUGAAAAAUUUUGUUUUAAUAUAUUUAUUUGGUAGUAAACAUUUAGGAGUGAUUUGGUUGAUACAUUACUUAAUUUGUAUUUUUAAUAUAGUUUUUCAUUAUUCAGCUAGUAGUCCAUUUUUAGUGAAAUUGCGUAUUUUUUUUAUUGGAUGGUGCAUUUAUUUGUUAUAUUGACCAUACACAUAUAUGAAAAACAUAC